rfam:Cricetulus griseus cell line CHO-K1, whole genome shotgun sequence.
UGGGGUGUAGCUCAGUGGUAGAGCAGCUGCCCAGCAUGCACAAUGCCUGAUGCCCUAGAUUUAAGUUCCAGCACUGCAA